rnacentral:rRNA from 1 species
UACGUAGGGUGCAAGCGUUAAUCGGAAUUACUGGGCGUAAAGCGUGCGCAGGCGGUUUUGUAAGUCUGACGUGAAAUCCCCCGGGCUCAACCUGGGAAUUGCGUUGGAGACUGCAAGGCUAGAGUUUGGCAGAGGGGGGGUAGAAUUCCACGUGUAGCAGUGAAAUGCGUAGAUAUGUGGAGGAACACCGAUGGCGAAGGCAGCCCCCCUGGGUCAAGACUGACGCUCAUGCACGAAAGCGUGGGGGAGCAAACAGG